GUUAGGAAUAUUGGACAAUGGGCGAAAGCCUGAUCCAGCCAUGCCGCGUGAACGAUGAAGGCCUUCGGGUUGUAAAGUUCUUUAGCCGAUGAUUAUAAUGACUGUAGUCGGAAAAUAAGCCCCGGCUAACUUCGUGCCAGCAGCCGCGGUAAUACGAAGGGGGCGAGCGUUAUUCGGAAUCACUGGGCGUAAAGCGUGCGUAGGCGGUCUCGUAAGUUAGGAGUGAAAGCCCAGGGCUCAACCUUGGAAUUGCUCUUAAAACUGCAAGGCUAGAAUCUCGGAGAGGAUAGCGGAAUUUCCAGUGUAGCAGUGAAAUGCGUAGAUAUUGGAAGGAACACCAGUGGCGUAAGCGGCUAUCUGGACGAGUAUUGACGCUGAGGCACGAAAGCGUGGGGAUCAAACAGGAUUAGAAACCCUAGUAGUCC
rnacentral:rRNA from 1 species